ACUAGCUCAUUGCGCCUCUCCUGCAGUCUGAUUGGCACCGGCUCCCAUUCCGGCUCCAGCCUCCAAUCCGACCCCCAUUUCGGCUGCAGCCUCGGACCUAGCUCCGGCCCUCGGUCUAUCCGGUUGCAUCCUCCCUCCCUGUUCCGGAUCUUAUCUUGCGCCAGCGCCUACUCCAGGAUCCCGUAGCCAGACCUCAAGCCAUGGCUGGUCCCUUCUCCCGUCUGCUGUCCGCCCGCCCGGGACUCAGGCUCCUGGCUUUGGCCGGAGCGGGGUCUCUAGCCGCUGGGUUUCUGCUCCGACCGGAACCUGUACGAGCUGCCAGUGAACGACGGAGGCUGUAUCCCCCGAGGCUUUUCCCCUCCUCCAUCCGUAGUGUUGUGUCAUGGGAGGAAAGAACUGAGCAGAUCUGAAGAAACUGAGCUGGCCAGCCAGAGGCAACUAGAACUAUUAGGAAAGCAUAGACUCUGAAAGUCCCUAAAGAGAUUACCAAGGUUUACCCUCUUUCUAAUUCCCCCUCCUCCCGCGGAGCAAAGCCAGACAUGGCCAACUGGACAGCUCCCAGGUAACUGCACUAGGUCUAGGCGUCUGUGCCCUCCCUC
rnacentral:lncRNA from 1 species